GUUAAAACGUAGAAGAGAAGAGUAGUCAUGGAUUAGAUCGAUCAGAGAGUCCCGGUUGGUGCGAAGGGAUGUUUUGAAAAAUGAUGAAGAUGAGCUCUGAGAAGUUAAUUGGUUAACGCCAGUUGAACGGGUGCAACCGUUAUAUUGCCAGGUAUCGCUAGCAUUGGGUAUUGGAAGAGGUCCAUGCAAAAUGGAUGAAUAUGAGGUGGUACCGCGAACGCGUUCGUCCUCUAG
rnacentral:ncRNA from 1 species